rnacentral:rRNA from 1 species
UCGCUGUUUGCGAUAUACGGCAAGCGGCCAAGCGAAAAGCGUUAAGUUAUUCCACAUGGGGAGUACGCCGGCAACGGUGAAACUCAAAGGAAUUGACGGGGGCCCGCACAAGCGGAGGAACAUGUGGUUUAAUUCGAUGAUACGCGAGGAACCUUACCCGGGCUUAAAUUGCACUCGAAUGAUCCGGAAACGGUUCAGCUAGCAAUAGCGAGUGUGAAGGUGCUGCAUGGUUGUCGUCAGCUCGUGCCGUGAGGUGUCGGCUUAAGUGCCAUAACGAGCGCAACCCUUGUUGUCAGUUACUAACAGGUGAUGCUGAGGACUCUGACAAGACUGCCAUCGUAAGAUGUGAGGAAGGUGGGGAUGACGUCAAAUCAGCACGGCCCUUACGUCCGGGGCUACACACGUGUUACAAUGGGGGGUACAGAGGGCCGCUACCACGAGAGUGGAUGCCAAUCCCUAAAACCCCUCUCAGUUCGGACUGGAGUCUGCAACCCGACUCCACGAAGCUGGAUUCGCUAGUAAUCGCGCAUCAGCCACGGCGCGGUGAAUACGUUCCCGGGCCUUGUACACACCGCCCGUCAAGCCAUGGGAGCCGGGGGUACAUGAAGUGCGUAACCGCGAGGAUCGCCCUAGGGUAAAA